rnacentral:rRNA from 1 species
UGGGGAAUAUUGGACAAUGGGCGCAAGCCUGAUCCAGCCAUACCGCGUGGGUGAAGAAGGCCUUCGGGUUGUAAAGCCCUUUUGUUGGGAAAGAAAUCCAGCUGGCUAAUACCCGGUUGGGAUGACGGUACCCAAAGAAUAAGCACCGGCUAACUUCGUGCCAGCAGCCGCGGUAAUACGAAGGGUGCAAGCGUUACUCGGAAUUACUGGGCGUAAAGCGUGCGUAGGUGGUCGUUUAAGUCCGUUGUGAAAGCCCUGGGCUCAACCUGGGAACUGCAGUGGAUACUGGGCGACUAGAGUGUGGUAGAGGGUAGCGGAAUUCCGUNCUCNAGCAGUGAAAUGCGUAGAGAUCAGGAGGAACAUCCAUGGCGAAGGCAGCUACCUGGACCAACACUGACACUGAGGCACGAAAGCGUGGGGAGCAAACAGGAUUAGAUACCCUGGUAGUCCACGCCCUAAACGAUGCGAACUGGAUGUUGGGUGCAAUUUGGCACGCAGUAUCGAAGCUAACGCGUUAAGUUCGCCGCCUGGGGAGUACGGUCGCAAGACUGAAACUCAAAUGAAUUGAC